GGAGAGGAGAGAGGGGUAGGAAGGAAAAAAUUGGAGGUAGGGUGAGGGAAGGGGAGGGUUGAAGGGAAAAUAAUGAAACAGAGGAAAAAAGAGAAUAACAAGUAAAAAGCAAUGCAUGUAAAUACAGAGCAAGCAAGUAGGGAAAGCUAGGCAUAGCACAGCAAAAGAGAGCAAAGCAAAAGAAGGCAAAGAAUGACAAAAAGCAACCUUGCAGGAAUGGAGGAAUCUGGCCAGAGCUGUGCCCCUGCUUGCCACAGGAGCUGCGCGGGAGGAGAAGAAUGUGGGCCAAAAGGAAUGGAGGAAUCUGGCCAGAGCUGUGCCCCUGCUUGCCACAGGAGCUGCGCGGGAGGAGAAGAAUGUGGGCCAAAAGGUAAGAGGAGCUCCUUUGGGUUCUGGGCUUGAAGCAAAGCUGAGAAGCCAUGCCCGGGAGGAGGUGUGGGUAGCUACAGGCCACCUUGCUAUCUCCCCAAGAGAUGAGGUGUGUGGGCUAGGCACCGGGCAGGAGUGCUGGCCAGAAGCAAGCAUCUCUGUGGAGGAAGGCAAAGGGCGGAGGAGGUUCAAGGGUAGCUACCGGGCAUGGCCUUGCUCAGCAAGGGAGGAAAAGCCUGAAGGGCACGAGAAGGGGAUAGAGAAGGGCAGGCAGUAGGCGUGAAGCUGUGAGCAGAGUAGAGAGCAACUUGGCAGAGCAGCAAGCAGAGUAGGCAAGUGUGAGGUUUGGCGUGAGUAGCAGCAAAAGCCCAGAGCAUCAAGAAGCAGGAAGUGAGGAGAAGGUAAGUGAAGGGCAGGCAAGGUAAUGGGAGGCAAAGGCAAGGGGAAAGGGGGGG
rnacentral:lncRNA from 7 species